ensembl:lncRNA
UAGUACCCUCCCCUGGACUGGUAUUACAGCCGAGACAGACAGGGGCCCUUUCUACCUAGUACCCUCCCCUGGACUGGUAUUACAGCUGAGACAGACAGGGGGCCCUUUCUACCUAGUACCCUCCCCUGGACUGGUAUUACAGCCGAGACAGACAGGGGACCCUUUCUACUCAGGCACAGGGAGGGGCAGCUCAGAACCUUUGUGGUCCUGAGUGAUUCUCUGCCACAACAACUAACAUGGAUUUAAAAAAGGAAAGUGUAACAAUGGUCCUUCUGUGUUAGUGGCUGAAAAUGUCAGGUCUUCCUCUUCUGAUGCUAUGAUGCCCAGUUCUGUCUGUGUGUAGUCUGGUGCUGGGAGGUUACUAGGCUUCACAGACAACAGUCUGGUGCUGUGAGGUUACUAGGCUUCACAGACAACAGUCUGGUGCUGGGAGGUUACUAGGCUUCACAGACAACAGUCUGGUGCUCUGAGGUUACUAGGCUUCACAGACAACAGUCUGGUGCUGUGAGGUUACUAGGCUUCACAGACAACAGUCUGGUGCUCUGAGGUUACUAGGCUUCACAGACAACAGUCUGGUGCAGGGAGGUUACUAGGCUUCACAGACAACAGUCUGGUGCUGGGAGGUUACUAGGCUUCACAGACAACAGUCUGGUGCUGGGAGGUUACUAGGCUUCACAGACAACAGUCAGACUUCCUGUCUGUAAGCGUCCCCAUGUUCAGAAUUAUAUUUGUAUUAUUCUCACUAGUCUUUAUUUACACAUUUAAUAUUUCUUGGGAGCUGCUUGUGUCUGGAUGGUGUGCUAACCUGUUUGACAUUAUAAUAAUGUAAUAUAAUUUAUAUCGUUUGUAUUAUUCUAACAUAAUAUUGUGGGUCU